rnacentral:rRNA from 1 species
CCUACGGGUGGCUGCAGUCGAGAAUCUUCGGCAAUGGGCGCAAGCCUGACCGAGCGACGCCGCGUGCGGGAUGAAGGUCUUCGGAUUGUAAACCGCUGUCGGGAGGGAUGAAGUGCGCGGAAGCUAUCUUCCGCGUUUGACAGAGCUCCAGAGGAAGCACGGGCUAAGUUCGUGCCAGCAGCCGCGGUAAUACGAACUGUGCGAACGUUAUUCGGAAUCACUGGGCUUAAAGGGUGCGUAGGCGGCUUGUUAAGUCAGGUGUGAAAGCCCCCGGCUCAACCGGGGAACAGCGCUUGAAACUAGCAGGCUGGAGUGAGGCAGGGGUGUGCGGAACUUCCAGUGGAGCGGUGAAAUGUGUAGAUAUUGGAAGGAACGCCGGCGGCGAAAGCGGCACACUGGGCCUUGUCUGACGCUGAGGCACGAAAGCCAGGGGAGUGAAC